CCUUGACUUUGGGAUAACUUCAGGAAACUGGGGCUAAUACCGGAUAGGAGCUCCUGCUGCAUGGUGGGGGUUGGAAAGUUUCGGCGGUUGGGGAUGGACUCGCGGCUUAUCAGCUUGUUGGUGGGGUAGUGGCUUACCAAGGCUUUGACGGGUAGCCGGCCUGAGAGGGUGACCGGCCACAUUGGGACUGAGAUACGGCCCAGACUCCUACGGGAGGCAGCAGUGGGGAAUAUUGUAUAAUGGGCGGAAGCCUGAUGCAGCAACGCCGCGUGCGGGAUGACGGCCUUCGGGUUGUAAACCGCUUUCGCCUGUGACGAAGCGUGAGUGACGGUAAUGGGUAAAGAAGCACCGGCUAACUACGUGCCAGCAGCCGCGGUGAUAUGUAGGGUGCGAGCGUUGUCCGGAUUUAUUGGGCGUAAAGGGCUCGUAGGUGGUUGAUCGCGUCGGAAGUGUAAUCUUGGGGCUUAACCCUGAGCGUGCUUUCGAUACGGGUUGACUUGAGGAAGGUAGGGGAGAAUGGAAUUCCUGGUGGAGCGGUGGAAUGCGCAGAUAUCAGGAGGAACACCAGUGGCGAAGGCGGUUCUCUGGGCCUUUCCUGACGCUGAGGAGCGAAAGCGUGGGGAGCGAACAGGCUUAGAUACCCUGGUAGUCCACGCUGUAAACGGUGGGUACUAGGUGUGGGGUCCAUUCCACGGGUUCCGUGCCGUAGCUAACGCUUUAAGUACCCCGCCUGGGGAGUACGGCCGCAAGGCUAAAACUCAAAGGAAUUGACGGGGCCCCGCACAAGCGGCGGAGCAUGCGGAUUAAUUCGAUGCAACGCGUAGAACCUUACCUGGGUUUGACAUGGAUCGGGAGUGCUCAGAGAUGGGUGUGCCUCUUUUGGGGUCGGUUCACAGGUGGUGCAUGGCUGUCGUCAGCUCGUGUCGUGAGAUGUUGGGUUAAGUCCCGCAACGAGCGCAACUCUUGUUCACUGUUGCCAGCACGUUAUGGUGGGGACUCAGUGGAGACCGCCGGGGUCAACUCGGAGGAAGGUGGGGAUGACGUCAAGUCAUCAUGCCCCUUAUGUCCAGGGCUUCACGCAUGCUACAAUGGCUGGUACAGAGAGUGGCGAGCCUGUGAGGGUGAGCGAAUCUCGGAAAGCCGGUCUCAGUUCGGAUUGGGGUCUGCAACUCGACCUCAUGAAGUCGGAGUCGCUAGUAAUCGCAGAUCAGCAACGCUGCGGGGAAUACGUUCCCGGGGCU
rnacentral:rRNA from 1 species